UUAAUAACUUCAAAGUUAAGCGUUAAAGCUUCAGUACUAGCUAGCUAACUUUGCUUAUAGUCACAAGAUUCAACAUAAUAGCUGCUUUGUUUUGUCUGGCUUUACAAACGCCAACUGGCUGGAUAAGUUCCCGGGACUCCACCACCGUGUCACCUAUUUUCAGUAGAUCCUGAGAGAAAACCCUUGCUUGUGGAUAAUGCCGGACACACCUGAAGAACAUUCUGCUAAUCUUCCAGAACUACUGUACUGGGUCCCACCCUGACUGGAGACAAAAUGGUACCUCAAAAGAAGUCAUGUAGUUUUGUAGAACAAGCCCUCCCAUGCCAUAUGUUUUCUCUGUCCAUGGCACUGAAACAACUAGCGCAACUGGAAACUUAUUUAUCUCUUGUAUGUAUUUUUCUACUAGUACUACUACUACUACUAUUACUACUACUACUACUACAACUAUGACUACUACUACUUAGUAGUGAAUAUUUUGUAACA